GUGAAAGCUUAACUGCAUCUUUUGUUUCGAAUGAAAAUGAUUCCUUAACAUUCGAAAACUAUAGAACUUACCGCUCCCAACCUCUCUCAGAAAGGUCCUUCAACAAAUGAAGAGAUAAUGGCGGAA
rnacentral:lncRNA from 1 species